rnacentral:rRNA from 1 species
CAGUCGCCGCGGGAAUACGGAGGGGGCUAGCGUUGUUCGGAAUUACUGGGCGUAAAGCGUACGUAGGCGGCUUUGUAAGUUAGAGGUGAAAGCCUGGUGCUCAACACCAGAACUGCCUUUAAGACUGCAUCGCUUGAACGUCGGAGAGGUGAGUGGAAUUCCGAGUGUAGAGGUGAAAUUCGUAGAUAUUCGGAAGAACACCAGUGGCGAAGGCGGCUCACUGGACGACUGUUGACGCUGAGGUACGAAAGCGUGGGGAGCAAACAGGAUUAGAUACCCGCGUAGUCCCUGUCUCUUAUAA